UUUAUGGAGAGUUUGAUCCUGGCUCAGGACGAACGCUGGCGGCGUGCCUAAUACAUGCAAGUCGAGCGGACCUCAUAAGAGCUUGCUCUUAUGAGGUUAGCGGCGGACG
rnacentral:rRNA from 1 species